UACAGAGGGGGCAAGCGUUGUUCGGAAUUACUGGGCGUAAAGGGCGCGUAGGCGGCCUGUUAAGUCGAACGUGAAAUCCCCGGGCUCAACCCGGGAACUGCGUCCGAUACUGGCAGGCUUGAAUCCGGGAGAGGGAUGCGGAAUUCCAGGUGUAGCGGAUGAAAUGCGUAGAUAUCUGGAGGAACACCGGUGGCGAAGGCGGCAUCCUGGAC
rnacentral:rRNA from 1 species